UCACAAAAUGAAGAUUUUGAUUCUAGAUUCAAAUCAUGAUUUGACAACUAUAAGCUUACGUAGAAUGUGGACCCUUUAACUUUCUACUACUAACCUUACCUAAUAAAUUCAUUUUUUAUGAUAAAAAUAUAUAAUAACCACAGCUCAGGCUAAUAUAUGGUCUAUAUGUGCACAUAAAUAUAUAUGCAAUUUUGAAAGACACAAGCUACUAACUGAUUGCAACACCAUUAGCAGAAUUUUCAAAAGUAGUUGAUUAAAGAAGUGUAAGACAUAAAUUGUAAUACUUAUAAUGAAGCUGGAUUUUUGAAAUUAGCUGAUUAAACCU
rnacentral:misc_RNA from 1 species